rnacentral:rRNA from 1 species
GGGUCAGUAGGUUGGUCUUGCCACCGGUACGUACUGGUCUCACUGAUUCCUCCUUCCUGAAGUACCGUAAUGCCAUUAAUUUGGUGUUGCGGGGAAACAGGACUGUUACUUUGAAAAAAUUAGAGUGUUUAAAGCAAGCUAACGCUUGAAUACAUUAGCAUGGAAUAGUGAAAUAGGACGAUCGAUCCUAUUUUGUUGGUUUAUAGGAUUGACGUA